rnacentral:misc_RNA from 1 species
UCCCGGUUGGCCCGGGCAGUCUCGUAUGAAAAAUACAACAUACGAUAGGGGUUGCGCUCGUUGCGGGACUUAACCCAACAUUUCACAACACGAGCUGACGACGGCCAUGCAGCACCUGUCACUAGGUUCUCAAAGAGCACGGCACUGUUUCCAGCGCUUUCCUAGGAUGUCAAGCCUUGGUAAGGUUCUACGCGUAUCGUCGAAUUAAACCACAUCAUCCUCUGCUUGUGCGGGUCCCCGUCAAUUCCUUUGAGUUUUAAGCUUGCGCUCGUACUCCCCAGGCGGCACACUUAUCGCGUUAGCUUCUCAGCACAGGGGGUCGAUACCCCAUACUAAUAGUGUGCAUCGUUUACGGCGUGGACUAC